rnacentral:rRNA from 1 species
UACGUAGGGUGCAAGCGUUGUCCAGAAUUAUUGGGCGUAAAGGGCGCGUAGGCGGCCUGGCAAGUGGAAGGUGAAAUCCCUCGGCUUAACCGAGGAACUGCCCUCCAAACUGCUUGGCUUGAGACCGGGAGAGGUGAGUGGAAUUCCCAGUGUAGCGGUGAAAUGCGUAGAUAUUGGGAGGAACACCAGUGGCGAAGGCGGCUCACUGGACCGGUACUGACGCUGAUGCGCGAAAGCGUGGGGAGCAAACGGG